rnacentral:rRNA from 1 species
AGGACGAACGCUGGCGGCGUGCUUAACACACGCAAGUCGAGCGGUAAGGCCCUUCGGGGUACACGAGCGGCGAACGGGUGAGUAACACGUGGGUGACCUGCCCCCUACUCUGGGAUAAGCCUGGGAAACUGGGUCUAAUACCGGAUAUGACACGGUCCUGCAUGGGGUUGUGUGGAAAGUGUGUUCUUAAUUGGGCACCUCGGUGGGGGAGUGGGCCCGCGGCCUAUCAGCUUGGUUGGUGGGUGAUGGCCUACCGAAGGCGACGACGGGUACGCCGGCCUGAGGAGGGCCGACCGGCCACGACGUGGGACUGACGACGACCGGCCAGACUCCGUACGGGAGGCAGCGAGGUCGGGAAUAGUGCGACGAAG